rnacentral:rRNA from 1 species
UACGUAGGUGGCGAGCGUUGUCCGGAAUUACUGGGCGUAAAGGGUGCGUAGGCGGGGAUUUAAGUCAGAUGUGAAAUUCCGGGGCUCAACUUCGGAAUUGCAUUUGAAACUGGGUUUCUAGAGUGCAGGAGAGGGAAGCGGAAUUCCUAGUGUAGCGGUGAAAUGCGUAGAUAUUAGGAAGAACACCAGUGGCGAAGGCGGCUUUCUGGACUGUAACUGACGCUGAGGCACGAGAGCGUGGGGAGCAAACAGGAUUAGAUACC